ensembl:lncRNA
UUAAUAUUAAUAAUUUAAUAUUUAAAACAUUAAUCUCCACAUGAAUGUAUGAAUUUAAUUGCACUCAUGCCACCUCUGUGCAGGGGCGUCGCACCCGUGGGGGAUGUGGGUGUUUUAACACCCACACUUUUCCCGGUGAGAGGGUUCAACACCCGCACUUUUUCUGCAGUUUUUCCGCAGUUUUGCACAAACACCUAACUACAGUCACUCCUCUGUUUCUCUGGCCGCUCUGUGUCUGCGCUCGCUGCGGCUGCCUCCUCUCCCCCUCCCUCUCAAACAUGACACCGGCUUUGAGUGUGACCGGCUGAUGAUUGGCUGUUCUGCCUUAAGUCCCGCCUCUCCUGGUGUGUUAGAUUUAUCGGUCAGCUCGUGCUGAGGAGGCGUAGGGGAGCGCGGGGCACAACGUAACACUUUUUGGAUUUGGCCAAAUAAUUAACAAAGUAAUGGGGUUAGACAAACCGUAUUUUUAAACCAACAACAUGCAAGCCUCUCUUACAAAUGAGCACUGUUUGUAUGUUCGUCGGACCUACCAUUCCUGUGCUGUAUCGCCCAAAGCGGAUAGAGUCAAAUGUUACAAUUUACCCUGUGGGCGGGGUUAGUUGUAACAGACAGAGGGUUAGUUGUAACGGUUGCUGGAAGAGUCAGAUUUCACACAAUAAACUGGUGGAGUGUGGUGGAGCCCUGGUGGAGUGUGGAGGAGCCCUGGUGGAGUGUGGAGGAGCCCUGGUGGAGUGUGGUGGAGCCCUGGUGGAGUGUGGAGGAAUCUGCAGAGGAUGUCAAGAUAGAUACCUGAAACCCGACAUGAUGUUCUCAGGUGUUGUUGCCUGUGGCAACGCUUUUGCAACAAUCCCAGGGAGGUCGUAUAUUGUGGCGUUCUUGCCAGGGUGAGCUUUCAUCCAGGCGUCCAGAAAUCCAUGGCUGGCACAGACAGGUGGGACACGUGAUUGUCCAGCAAGAGAAACCCAUUUGCUGCUCCGGCUGAUGCAGGCGGCCCUUCAUGGAUGAAGUGAGAGUGAAAUCGUUUACGGGGAAAAACAAAAAACGGAGGCACCGAAUUCCCCAGGGCAUUAAUGGCCACUGCCACAGUCACAAGCGUACCCCUUUCUCCAGAUGUCAUUGCUCCGAUCUGGCGCACUCCUUUUGUCGCAAUUAUUUUUUCUGGGGUGUGAACUGUGGUCACACCAGUCUCAUCCAUAUUCCAUAUGUCAUUUGGCCUAAAAUGGUGAGUUUUGUAUACAG